GUCAGGAUGGCCGAGUGGUCUAAGGCGCCAGACUCAAGCUUGACUUCCUCUGCAUGGAGGGUUCUGGUCUCCGAAUGGAGGCGUGGGUUCGAAUCCCACUUCUGACA
rnacentral:tRNA from 1 species